UACCAGCUCUCCGAGUGGUGUGGAUGUUUAUUGGGCCUAAAGCAUCCGUAGCUGGCUGGGCAAGUCCCCUGUUAAAUCCACCGAUUUAAUCGUUGGAGUGCGGGGGAUACUGUUCGGCUAGGGGACGGGAGAGGCCGACGGUAUUUCCGGGGUAGGGGUGAAAUCCUAUAAUCCCGGGAAGACCACCAGUGGCGAAGGCUGUCGGCUAGAACGCGCCCGACGGUGAGGGAUGAAAGCUGGGGGAGCGAACCGGAUUAGAUACCCGGGUAGUCCCAGCUGUAAACGAUGCAGGCUAGGUGUUUGGGCGGCCACGUGCCGCUCUAGUGCCGCAAGGAAGCUGUUAAGCCUGCCGCCUGGGGAGUACGGCCGCAAGGCUGAAACUUAAAGGAAUUGGCGGGGGAGCACCACAAGGGGUGAAGCUUGCGGUUU
rnacentral:rRNA from 1 species